rnacentral:rRNA from 1 species
CUGCGAUAAGCGCCGGUAAGGUGAUAUGAACCGUUAUAACCGGCGAUACCCGAAUGGGGAAACCCAGUGUGAUUCGUCACACUAUCAUUAACUGAAUCCAUAGGUUAAUGAGGCGAACCGGGGGAACUGAAACAUCUAAGUACCCCGAGGAAAAGAAAUCAACCGAGAUUCCCCCAGUAGCGGCGAGCGAACGGGGAGGAGCCCAGAGCCUGAAUCAGCAUGUGUGUUAGUGGAAGCGUCUGGAAAGGCGCGCGAUACAGGGUGACAGCCCCGUACACAAAAGCGCAUGUGCUGUGAGCUCGAUGAGUAGGGCGGGACACGUGGUAUCCUGUCUGAAUAUGGGGGGACCAUCCUCCAAGGCUAAAUACUCCUGACUGACCGAUAGUGAACCAGUACCGUGAGGGAAAGGCGAAAAGAACCCCGGCGAGGGGAGUGAAAAAGAACCUGAAACCGUGUACGUACAAGCAGUGGGAGCACAGGUUUACCUGUGUGACUGCGUACCUUUUGUAUAAUGGGUCAGCGACUUAUAUUCUGUAGCAAGGUUAACCGAAUAGGGGAGCCGGAGGGAAACCGAGUCUUAAUUGGGCGUUAAGUUGCAGGGUAUAGACCCGAAACCCGGUGAUCUAGCCAUGGGCAGGUUGAAGGUUGGGUAACACUAACUGGAGGACCGAACCGACUAAUGUUGAAAAAUUAGCGGAUGACCUGUGGCUGGGGGUGAAAGGCCAAUCAAACCGGGAGAUAGCUGGUUCUCCCCGAAAGCUAUUUAGGUAGCGCCUCGUGAAUUCAUCUCCGGGGGUAGAGCACUGUUUCGGCUAGGGGGCCAUCCCGGCUUACCAACCCGAUGCAAACUGCGAAUACCGGAGAAUGUUAUCACGGGAGACACACGGCGGGUGCUAACGUCCGUCGUGAAGAGGGAAACAACCCAGACCGCCAGCUAAGGUCCCAAAGUCAUGGUUAAGUGGGAAACGAUGUGGGAAGGCCCAGACAGCCAGGAUGUUGGCUUAGAAGCAGCCAUCAUUUAAAGAAAGCGUAAUAGCUCACUGGUCGAGUCGGCCUGCGCGGAAGAUGUAACGGGGCUAAACCAUGCACCGAAGCUGCGGCAGCGACACUGUGUGUUGUUGGGUAGGGGAGCGUUCUGUAAGCCUGCGAAGGUGGCCUGUGAGGGUUGCUGGAGGUAUCAGAAGUGCGAAUGCUGACAUAAGUAACGAUAAAGCGGGUGAAAAGCCCGCUCGCCGGAAGACCAAGGGUUCCUGUCCAACGUUAAUCGGGGCAGGGUGAGUCGACCCCUAAGGCGAGGCCGAAAGGCGUAGUCGAUGGGAAACGGGUUAAUAUUCCCGUACUUGGUGUUACUGCGAAGGGGGGACGGAGAAGGCUAUGUUGGCCGGGCGACGGUUGUCCCGGUUUAAGCGUGUAGGUGUGUGUUCCAGGUAAAUCCGGUUCACUUUAACACUGAGGCGUGACGACGAGGCACUACGGUGCUGAAGCAACAAAUGCCCUGCUUCCAGGAAAAGCCUCUAAGCAUCAGGUAACAUCAAAUCGUACCCCAAACCGACACAGGUGGUCAGGUAGAGAAUACCAAGGCGCUUGAGAGAACUCGGGUGAAGGAACUAGGCAAAAUGGUGCCGUAACUUCGGGAGAAGGCACGCUGACACGUAGGUGAAGUGAUUUACUCAUGGAGCUGAAGUCAGUCGAAGAUACCAGCUGGCUGCAACUGUUUAUUAAAAACACAGCACUGUGCAAACACGAAAGUGGACGUAUACGGUGUGACGCCUGCCCGGUGCCGGAAGGUUAAUUGAUGGGGUCAGCGCAAGCGAAGCUCCUGAUCGAAGCCCCGGUAAACGGCGGCCGUAACUAUAACGGUCCUAAGGUAGCGAAAUUCCUUGUCGGGUAAGUUCCGACCUGCACGAAUGGCGUAAUGAUGGCCAGGCUGUCUCCACCCGAGACUCAGUGAAAUUGAACUCGCUGUGAAGAUGCAGUGUACCCGCGGCAAGACGGAAAGACCCCGUGAACCUUUACUAUAGCUUGACACUGAACAUUGAGCCUUGAUGUGUAGGAUAGGUGGGAGGCUUUGAAGUGUGGACGCCAGUCUGCAUGGAGCCGACCUUGAAAUACCACCCUUUAAUGUUUGAUGUUCUAACGUGGACCCGUUACCCGGGUUGCGGACAGUGUCUGGUGGGUAGUUUGACUGGGGCGGUCUCCUCCUAAAGAGUAACGGAGGAGCACGAAGGUUGGCUAAUCCUGGUCGGACAUCAGGAGGUUAGUGCAAUGGCAUAAGCCAGCUUGACUGCGAGCGUGACGGCGCGAGCAGGUGCGAAAGCAGGUCAUAGUGAUCCGGUGGUUCUGAAUGGAAGGGCCAUCGCUCAACGGAUAAAAGGUACUCCGGGGAUAACAGGCUGAUACCGCCCAAGAGUUCAUAUCGACGGCGGUGUUUGGCACCUCGAUGUCGGCUCAUCACAUCCUGGGGCUGAAGUAGGUCCCAAGGGUAUGGCUGUUCGCCAUUUAAAGUGGUACGCGAGCUGGGUUUAGAACGUCGUGAGACAGUUCGGUCCCUAUCUGCCGUGGGCGCUGGAGAACUGAGGGGGGCUGCUCCUAGUACGAGAGGACCGGAGUGGACGCAUCACUGGUGUUCGGGUUGUCAUGCCAAUGGCACUGCCCGGUAGCUAAAUGCGGAAGAGAUAAGUGCUGAAAGCAUCUAAGCACGAAACUUGCCCCGAG